UAAUUUUCAGAAUUGUUCUAGAAAUAAAAUGAGAAGAGCUAUGAAAAUAUAAGUGAUCAUAAUCAUUUUAGCCCAACUCACAAAGUAACACUUCCUUUUCUAAGUUUUACAGUUACGACUUCAACAGAGAAGGACCCAGGAGCAACUGGCUAACCAAGGCUUAAUACCACCACUGAAAAGUCCAACUGCAUUCCAUGAGCAAAGAAAAAUUUGAAUAGUAACAAGGUAAUUUUUGCAAACUGCCUUUCUGAACUUAGGCUGUUAGUUAUAGACCUCAGGAUGCUAAACUCUG
rnacentral:lncRNA from 1 species